UGGGGAAUUUUACGCAAUGGGGGAAACCCUGACGUAGCGACACCGCGUGAGCGAAGAAGCCCUUUGGGGUGUAAAGCUCUGUCAACAGGAACGAAACAAAUGACGGUACCUGUGGAGGAAGCAUCGGCUAACUACGUGCCAGCAGCCGCGGUAAGACGUAGGAUGCAAGCGUUGUCCGGAUUUAUUGGGCGUAAAGAGUUCGUAGGCGGUUUGUUAAGUCUGAUGUUAAAGACCGGGGCUCAACCUCGGAAAUGCAUUGGAUACUGGCAGACUGGAGUGCAGUAGAGGCUAGUGGAAUUCCCAGUGUAGCGGUGAAAUGCGUAGAUAUUGGGAAGAACACCGGUGGCGUAGGCGACUAGCUGGGCUGUAACUGACGCUGAGGAACGAAAGCCAGGGGAGCAAAUGGGAUUAGAUACCCCAGUAGUCCUGGCCGUAAACGAUGGAUACUAGGCGUAGUGGGUAUCGACCCCUGCUGUGCCGCAGCUAACGCGAUAAGUAUCCCGCCUGAGUAGUACGGCCGCAAGGUUGAAACUCAAAUGAAUUGACGGGGGUCAUAGCUGUUUCCU
rnacentral:rRNA from 1 species